AAGUGACGAACAAGCGCCAUCUUUGGUUAUGUCGAGACAUGAGACUGCUUUCUGCAGGGGAAGAAUCCAAUAUGGAGUUUUUUUCUCCAUGUCAGUCUGGUUUGCAACUACUGUGUAGUUGCUGUUUAUUGACACUCUGACGUUAUUUGGUCUUCUAGCUUGAAGCAUUUUGGCAUGACGGCUCCAUCCCUCAACAGCAGAGCAUGCACUGUUGUGGUGACCACUUGCAGAUUCACCUCUAUUUUUAUAUGAAACCUUUGAGAAGGGAAGUGUUUCAUUUCCAGGCCAUCUCUGACGUUGCCGAGGCCAGAAAGCGGCCACGUACGAGGGCGCCCGGUCUUAAACCAGGGUGACGUUUGGUCAGAGUGGUCUUGGGAUUAAGCGUCCAACACAUCCUAUGUGUCGCUGUUUUUUGUUUGUUUAGUUACAAAAAAAUAAAAUAACUGUUUUCCUGUCUUCUUUGUCAACGCUAUUUGACCAUGCAUCUUUGUGUGAUUACUGGCAAAAAAAUGUUGGUUUUUUUUAUUAAAUGUAGCGCAAAUGUGAUUGUGAUGGUAAUAGGGCUUUCCGUUAAUUAUUUUAACGCGCAUGCACUCUAGCUUCUUUUUGACCCUCGGCCCGUUCCGUAGCGUGGGAAAAUGUCAUCGCGUUCAGCGACUGUUGAGCCACAAACUCGAGAAGUAGCAAACAGAAAUGUACAAAAAAGGGUCAUUUAUGAAAAUCGUGUAUCCAAAGAGACGGCAAGUCCUCCUCUCGACAGAACAAGACUCUUCUUUGAUCUUCCAUCGCCACGAAACGACAUCAUUGGAACGAAAGCGUGCUGGCGCGCUUUGCCGCUUGCAGGGAGGUGGAACUUUGGAUUAUGGUUGAGUGAAUGAAUUUAAUGUAAGUUGUUACCCUAACUGCUCUGGUACGAUGGAAUGAAAGCUGAAGAAAAUAAAGUAAGCAGGGAGUUUAGAGUCAUUUUAUAUCGGCGACUUUGACCCCGCCAAAACAUGUCAAGACGUACCCAUCACUGACUUCCGGCUUCACAACAGCGGCGCUAGCAUCACAUCCGCUCUAAGUAGCGUGACUAAAUGUAACAUGUCUUACGUUACCAUCAUGCCUUGUCAAAGAUGUCUUGUCAUGUAAUCUGUGAUACUUCCGCCUAAAUAAAUGUUUUCUGGCAGAUUGGAAUAAA